GUUGUUUCCUCUGGGGCUAAGACACUUUGAUUUCCCCUGUCCAGUUGUUUCUGGAAGCGGAAGAUUAGCAGAAACCAAACCUCAAUUUUUGGGAAUAUGGCUAAGAUGUGAGCUACACUACAUGUGUGUUCCAGCUGCCCUUGAGUCUACAAGAUUACAUUAUCCAAGAUUUAAAAAUCAGCUCUCAUUCCUUUUCUAAUUUGUGUCUCAAGAUUGUUCGAUGUCCC